AGAAGCCUGGAGCGGGGCAGCCCGCAGCCUGUCAACACGGGGACACAGGCCGGCCCCCUGCACGCUGGGCAAGCGCUCGGUCACUGAGCCACGACCCUCACUUUUUAACUCCGAGACAGGUUCAGCUGCUAAGUUGCCAGGGCCGGCCUCCAGCUUGCCAUCCUCCUGCCUCGGCCUCCCAAGGAGCUGCACCGCAGGCUGCGCCCUCGCCCAGCUUCGGGGUCCCUCCAACUAGGAAGGACGCUCCCGUGGUCCACGCCCUGUUCCGCUCUGCACAGGGCCUGGGGGAAGUCCACCAAGAGCCCAGAGGCCUGCAGACAGGGGAGCCUCCUGAGGUUCAGGACCAGUGAGGGCAGCCGGGGCUAGAACUCAGGUCAGAACUCCUGCGGCCACCCCAUCCCGAAAAGCCACAGGAUGCAGUGGAGACCCUCAGCAGGGCCGGCUCCUGGCUUGGGACCUUGCACCCUUCAGAACUGUGAGCCCAAUGAGCCUCUCCUCUUCUGGAUCACCCAGGCCCCAGGCAGAAUUUAAGGAGCAACACAAAAUGGACUUAGUCCCACUUCACAGGGAGGAAAACUGAGGCUGCCAGGAUCUCAUGACGGCCCGAGGUUGCCCCGCAGAGUUGCCCAGGUGGAGUCUGAAUGAGCACCGUUGGGUUUCGCUCUUGCCUCUGUUGGUGGUCUUCUCAUUUCUGCUAAACCAGAUGCAAGCCUGAAACUACCUCGAGGACCAUCACCCGGAAGCUGGGUGGGACGCCGCUACAUCCAGACGGUGGACUUCGUGAAGAGCGCUCUCGAGGCUGAUCUGGAAAGACCCCCCCAAGUGCUGAUGGCCUUCCCUCCCAGUAGACGUGGUGGAUUGCGUUACUGUCAAAGUCUUCCUUUUAUUGGCUGUUCCCCGACGACCCUCCCUGCUGGAGUCAGGCCUGGCUGUGACCUCCUUUGGCCGAUCCGUGUGAGCUAAGCUCCCUAGGAGAAGCCUCCGGAGCCAUCCCUGGGUCUCCAUUAGAUCUCUUCUCUCUGCUGGGACAGCGGCCUACCCCAGCGGCGCCCGCACCUUCAACAGGGACCUGAGCAAAGGAGGCCCCCGGACCAGAGCUGCAGCCAGCCCCCACCAACGAGUCCUCUGAAUGACAAACUCGCCUUGCGGGAGCACCUCCGGGGAAUCCGAGUUUUACUGCAGCGACGCCUAGCCCCGGUGGACUGACGCACUGGACACAAAGUUUCCUUUAAAAAUGAAUGUACUUAAGUCAAAUAAACGUUUUCCAAAAGA